GUGGCGUCCCCGAAUCCGGGUCCCGAAUCGCCGCGGAUCCGGUUUGCUAUUUCUACAACUGUUGCGGAAGAUAUAAACAUAAAUUGUUUAUACAUUAAACUUUACACACUAUUCCCAAAAUCGAGUAACCUUAACUAAUACACAAUCGUGAACUGUCUAACACAUGACAAUACUAUUCUUCAACAUACUUUACAACUUAACUUCAUAUUUUAUCCCAAGCUGAACUUGGCAUUAUCCUUUUUCCUGUAUCUGGCCGUAUUCGCCUUAUCUGCAAUGUUUUAUCAUGAUAUAGCAAGGAUGAGCAUGAAAGUUGCCCAGCAAGUUUUAAAAAAACAAGGUAAAGAUAUAUCAUGAUUGAAAGAGUUUGAAUAAUAAGCUGGCUAUCCUUCACAAUGUA
rnacentral:lncRNA from 1 species